rnacentral:tRNA from 1 species
GGCUCGGUAGCUUAGUUGGUAAAGCGCUCGUCUAGCAUACAAGUGUCCUGGGUUCAAAUCCCAGCCAAGCAC